rnacentral:rRNA from 1 species
UCCUGGCUCAGAUUGAACGCUGGCGGCAUGCCUUACACAUGCAAGUCGAACGGUAACAGGUUAAGCUGACGAGUGGCGAACGGGUGAGUAAUGUAUCGGAACGUGCCCAGUCGUGGGGGAUAACUGCUCGAAAGAGCAGCUAAUACCGCAUACGACCUGAGGGUGAAAGCGGGGGAUCGCAAGACCUCGCGCGAUUGGAGCGGCCGAUAUCAGAUUAGGUAGUUGGUGAGGUAAGGCUCACCAAGCCGACGAUCUGUAGCUGGUCUGAGAGGACGACCAGCCACACUGGGACUGAGACACGGNCCAGACUCCUACGGGAGGCAGCAGUGGGGAAUUUUGGACAAUGGGCGCAAGCCUGAUCCAGCCAUGCCGCGUGCGGGAAGAAGGCCUUCGGGUUGUAAACCGCUUUUGUCAGGGAAGAAAAGGUUCUGGCUAAUACCUGGGACUCAUGACGGUACCUGAAGAAUAAGCACCGGCUAACUACGUGCCAGCAGCCGCGGUAAUACGUAGGGUGCAAGCGUUAAUCGGAAUUACUGGGCGUAAAGCGUGCGCAGGCGGUUAUGCAAGACAGAGGUGAAAUCCCCGGGCUCACCCUGGGAACUGCCUUUGUGACUGCAUGGCUAGAGUACGG